AACGAACGCUGGCGGCAUGCCUAACACAUGCAAGUCGAACGAAGCCUUCGGGCUUAGUGGCGCACGGGUGCGUAACGCGUGGGAAUCUGCCCUUGGGUUCGGAAUAACAGUUAGAAAUGACUGCUAAUACCGGAUGAUGUCUUCGGACCAAAGAUUUAUCGCCCAAGGAUGAGCCCGCGUCGGAUUAGCUAGUUGGUGAGGUAAAGGCUCACCAAGGCGACGAUCCGUAGCUGGUCUGAGAGGAUGAUCAGCCACACUGGGACUGAGACACGGCCCAGACUCCUACGGGAGGCAGCAGUGGGGAAUAUUGGACAAUGGGCGAAAGCCUGAUCCAGCAAUGCCGCGUGAGUGAUGAAGGCCUUAGGGUUGUAAAGCUCUUUUACCCGGGAUGAUAAUGACAGUACCGGGAGAAUAAGCCCCGGCUAACUCCGUGCCAGCCGCCGCGGUAACAC
rnacentral:rRNA from 1 species